ACGGAUCCCAAUAAUCUCUUUUUAAAACAUGCAUGGAAACUCAUUUAAAAAUCCAUAGUUUGAUUUUUGAACUCAAGCUCUAAUACCACUAAAUAUAACCUCUCAAACCAAACUUAAAAGUUAUGACUAGAUUCUUAAGGCUACAUUGACCACCGAAAUAGCCUAGUAAAACCAUCAGAUUUCAAAACAUGUUUUGAAAACCAUUUGCUUAUCUUUCUAUAUAAAAUCAGGUGAAUCUAUUAAUUUUGCAAAAAAGUACAAGUUUCAAACAUAAAAUAAUUUAUUUAAAUAUACAUACUUUGCAC
rnacentral:lncRNA from 1 species